UCCCUGGUGGCUCAGAUGGUAAAGCAUCUGCCUGCAAUGUGGGAGAUCUAGGUUCAAUCCCUGGGUAGGAAA
rfam:TPA: Bos taurus chromosome 3, whole genome shotgun sequence.